GCUAGCAGUGGGAAUCGGCAGCUCUUUCGGACGACACGGACACUAUUUUCUUCCUGGAAGCCACAGGGGCCACAACAGAAAACGUUCCACGUGGUACAUCCUUGCCCACAUGUUCCAUGAUGAUGUUGGGAAGAGGAUAAAUUGGAAAGGGAUCACUUUGCAACACUCUAUGCCAGAUGGCAUUGGAGAUGUUGCUCCUGUAUGCUGUGAAAAAGAGUCAUCUCUCCCGUGCUGCCACAGAUGAUAUCAUCGUAAAGCAGAAAGUAUGGUGUUUCAACCUCGCAGCAGCGAGGGGAAAAAAGUUCAAGGUGUGCCGCUAUCAGCAUCCUUAUGGAAGAUCAGCCCACUGUUAAUUCACCUUAAAAAAAGUAUUUUGGUAUGUGGGGUUUCUACCUGUCUUGAAACAUGUUAAAGUAUAUAAUUUUUAUGGUUGCAUUUCAUUUGUCCAGUAAUACAUAGUAUUCAAUGUAUUUACAAUCUGUAAAGACGUUGUUUGACUGAUAGAGGAUUUAGUUUUUACUGGCAGUCCACCUUUGGAUAAAAACUGUAACGAAACAAUGCAUUUAGGAUCCCCAGUUAUUUUAUCUGACAGUAGCAUCGCUGAUAACUGAUGGCUCUCUUACGGCCGUAGCAGAGCUGUAUUAAGUUGCUAAUACAAAGUCAAUUUUCCUAUUUUCUGCUUCUUCACGGUAAAAGCAUUUAACUAAAGAACGGCAGGGUGGCUUAAAGGUUAUAAGAAGUAUUUAAGGUUUUAUACAGAACAGUAGAUGUUGGUCAGCUAGAUUUUAGAUAUUUCUGUAGCCAGUGUUGGCCAGAUGAGCCACUUUAUGAAUGGAUCCAAAUUGGAUCCGAGCCGGAUGAGCUAAUUAAUUUACGGAUCCGGAUUGGAUCCAGGCCGAAUGAGCCACUUCAUGAACGGGUCUGGAUCGGAUCCGGGCCGGGUAAGCCACUUCCUGAACGGGUCCGGAUCGGAUCCGGGUAGGGUAUGGGCCAGAUCUGUUCCGGAUCCGAAAUCCCGUUUCCAGUUUUUAUGCGAAGCUAGGCAAACCAUA